UAUUUUAAUGACACUUAUAAACUGUCUCCAAUUAAAUUGUGUAAUAUAUUUGUAGGUCUAUUUGUUUUCUCUAAAUGAGAGAUGUUGGCAUCGGUGAGAAUUUCCGUUAGAUUUUUGUUCUUUUCGGUCAACUUUGGUGCUUUUCGGAAUUUAUGGGAGAUAACCACCGUUGUAACUGCAAACCUGGGAGGGUUGUGUUUUUGUGGUUCACAGUUCACGCGGAGUGACGCAAAUACUACCAAUGGUGACGACUGCUAGACUGCCUUACGGAAUGGCUUAACUCCAUGUCAAACAAUUCUGUUUGAGAGAAAACUUGACCGAGGUAGUCUCGUAAGGUGGAGUCAAGGACAAGCACGGGGAUUGUGUGUGUGUGUGGUUCCUCGGAGUGCGGGAAAGGCGGCAGAACUGAACGUUUGAGGGAGUAGAUAGAGGCAGGGCAGGGACAGAGAGAGAGAGCACGAUCGAAAGACACGAUUGAACGAACGGCUGUCGCCUGGCGGAGGUCAAAUACGCUCUCGACAGUCACAGGCUCGAGUUGGACUAGAUCGGAGCGUGGAAGGCAAGGGCAUCCG